CGGCAACAGCUCAAAUUUGAAAUCUGGCCUCUUUUGGGGUCCGAGUUGUAAUUUGUAGAGGAUGUUUUGGGUACCGCACUGGUUUAAAUUUCUUGGAACAGAAUGUCAGAGAGGGUGAGAGCCCCGUACGGUUGGACGCCUAGCCUUUGUAAAGCUCCUUCGAC
rnacentral:rRNA from 1 species